rnacentral:rRNA from 1 species
CAAUAGUGUAUAUUAAAGUUGUUGCAGUUAAAAAGCUCGUAGUUGGAUUUCGGGGCAGCCUGGCUGGUCUGCCGCAAGGCGAGUACUGGUCAGCCGCCCUUCCUCUCGAAAGCCCCGACUGCUCUUCGUUGCAGUGGUCGGGUAGUUCGGGACGUUUACUUUGAAAAAAUUAGAGUGUUCAAGGCAGGCCUACGCCUGAAUACAUUAGCAUGGAAUAAUGGAAGAGGACCUCGGUCCUAUUUUGUUGGUUUCCAGGGCCGAAGUAAUGAUUAAGAGGGACAGUUGGGGGCAUUCGUAUUUAAUUGUCAGAGGUGAAAUUCUCGGAUUUAUGAAAGACGAACAACUGCGAAAGCAUUUGCCAAGGAUGUUUUCAUUAA